UCAUAUGCUUGUCUCAAAGCUUAAGCCAUGCAAGUGUAAGUUCACGCCACGCAUUAGAACGGGCGAAACCGCGAAUGGCUCAGGAACCGGACCUAAUCCUCGGGACCGUAAUCCUCCUCGGAGGCGAUGGAUAACUGUGGCAAUUCUAGAGCUAAUACAUGUGACACAGGCCGCGAUCGGCCGUCGCGCCGUGGUCGCCUCGCCUUCAUUGCGCGCUGGCACCCGCGGCGGCCGUCUUGGGUCGCGGCGCUACAUAUUAGACUGAGACCGAUGCGCGAUUCCCGUCCUCCCGUCUGCCGUGGGCUUCGGUUCGCGUGCCGGCGGGACCAAAGGGCGGCGCGCUCCGCUUUGGUGACUCUGGAUAACUCACUGGUCGAUCGCACGGGCUCAACGCCCGGCGACGGGUCCCCCGAGGGUCCGCCCUAUCAACUGUCGACGGUCGGUUAAGUGCCUACCGUGGUUACUACGGGUAACGGGGAAUCGGGGUUCGAUUCCGGAGAGGGAGCAUGCGAAACGGCUACCACAUCCAAGGAAGGCAGCAGGCGCGCAAAUUACCCACUCCCGGCACGGGGAGGUAGUGACGAAAAAUAACGACGCGGGACUCUGUCGAGGCCCCGCGAUCGGAAUGAGUACACUUCAAAUCCGUUAACGAGGACCAACCGGAGGGCAAGUCUGGUGCCAGCAGCCGCGGUAAUUCCAGCUCCGGUAGCGUAUAUUAAAGUUGUUGCGGUUAAAAAGCUCGUAGUCCGAACUCGGGUUCGUGGUCGCUCGCGCGGCCCCGGGGCGGCGGCGCCAUCGUCCAUCGUUGACUUUGGUCGUCCGUUCGCAUUCCCGGCCCUUUCCGCCGGUGUCGAUCGCUACAUAGACGGCCGCGGGCUAGCUGGCGGUGGGCGCGUCGUCGGCGUUCGGUUUCGGUUCGUCGUUGGGGAGGCUCUCGGGUUCGUCCCGUCUGCCGACUCGGCGCGUGCCGCUCUUCCUUGCWCCGUCGUCCGGGCUCUCGGGCCCCCCGCCACCACGCGACCCCGCGUCGCCGUCGGCGAUUUCUCCUCCAAGGGUGCUCUUAACCGAGUGUCCGCGGCGGCCGGUACGUUCACUUUGAAAAAAUUAGAGUGCUCAGAGCGGGCUGUUCAAGCUUGCAUACGAUAAGCAUGGAAUGAUGGAAGAGGGCCUCGUCUACGUCUGUCGGUCUCCGUCUACGGCGAGGCAAUGAUCGAAGGGAGCGGUCGGGGCCACUCGUAUUGCGACGUUAGAGGUGAAAUUCUUGGAUCGUCGCAAGACGAACUGCAGCGAUGGCGUGUGGCAAGCACGUUUUCCUCGAUCAAGAGCGAAAGUCGGAGGUUCGAAGACGAUCAGAUACCGUCGUAGUUCCGACCGUAAACGAUGCCGACCGGCGAUCCGCCGGCGUUCGCUUCCAUGACCCGGCGGGUAGCCUGCGGGAAACCAGAGUUCGGUUCCGGGGGGAGUAUGGUUGCAAAGCUGAAACUUAAAGGAAUUGACGGAAGGGCACCACCAGGAGUGGAGCCUGCGGCUUAAUUUGACUCAACACGGGAAAACUCACCCGGUCCGGACACCGGUAGGAUUGACAGAUCGAUAGCUCUUUCUCGAUUCGGUGGGUGGUGGUGCAUGGCCGUUCUUAGUUGGUGGAGCGAUCCGUCU
rnacentral:rRNA from 2 species